AUUGAACGCUGGCGGCAGGCCUAACACAUGCAAGUCGAGCGGAGCGGCGGACGGGUGAGUAAUGCCUAGGAAUCUGCCUGGUAGUGGGGGAUAACGUCCGGAAACGGGCGCUAAUACCGCAUACUAUCAGAUGAGCCUAGGUCGGAUUAGCUCGUUGGUGGGGGAAAGGCCUACAAAGGAGACGAUCCGUAACUGGUCUGAGAGGAUGAUCAGUCACACUGGAACUGAGACACGGGCCAGACUACUACGGGAGGCAGCAGGGGGGAAUAUUGGACAAUGGGCGAAAGCCUGAUCCAGCCAUGCCGCGUGUGUGAAGAAGGUCUUCGGAUUGUAAAGCACUUUUGUUGGGAAAGCGGUACCCAAAGAAAAAGCACCGGCUAACUUCGUGCCAGCAGCCGCGGUAAUAC
rnacentral:rRNA from 1 species